rnacentral:ncRNA from 1 species
AAUCCCGACACGGGGCGCCGCUUCCUGGCGGCUGAGAUUGACCCGUUGAACCUGAUACAGAUAAUGCUGACGAAGGGAUGUCCUGCAUAUGGGUA